AUUGAACGCUGGCGGCAGGCCUAACACAUGCAAGUCGAACGAGUGGCGGACGGGUGAGUAAUGUCUGGGAAACUGCCCGAUGGAGGGGGAUAACUACUGGAAACGGUAGCUAAUACCGCAUACCAUCGGAUGUGCCCAGAUGGGAUUAGCUAGUAGGUGGGGUAACGGUGCACCUAGGCGACGAUCCCUAGCUGGUCUGAGAGGAUGACGAUCCACACUGGAACUGAGACACGGUCCAGACUCCGACCAUGUUCAACAGGAUUUAAUAUUGCACAAUGGGCGCAAGCCUGAGUCAGCCAUGCCGCGUGUAUGAAGAAGGCCUUCGGGUUGUAAAGUACUUUCAGCGAGGAGGCGUUACUCGCAGAAGAAGCACCGGCUAACUCCGUGCCAGCAGCCGCGGUAAUAC
rnacentral:rRNA from 1 species